rnacentral:rRNA from 1 species
GACGAACCGUGCGAACGUUAUUCGGAAUCACUGGGCGUAAAGGGCGCGUAGGCGGGGAGGUAAGUCGGGUGUGAAAUCCCUCGGCCCAACUGAGGAACUGCGCCCGAGACUGCUUCUCUUGAGUCCCGGAGAGGAAGAUGGAAUUCCCGGUGUAGCGGUGAAAUGUGUAGAGAUCGGGAGGAACACCGGUGGCGAAGGCGGUCUUCUGGACGGUGACUGACGCUGAGGCGCGAAAGCGUGGGGAGCAAACGGG